GGCUUAGAGUUUGAUCCUGGCUCAGAUUGAACGCUGGCGGCAUGCCUUACACAUGCAAGUCGAACGGUAACAGGUCUUCGGACGCUGACGAGUGGCGUACGGGUGAGUAAUACAUCGGAACGUGCCCAGUCGUGGGGGAUAACUACUCGAAAGAGUAGCUAAUACCGCAUACGAUCUGAGGAUGAAAGCGGGGGACCUUCGGGCCUCGCGCGAUUGGAGCGGCCGAUGGCAGAUUAGGUAGUUGGUGGGAUAAAAGCUUACCAAGCCGUCGAUCUGUAGCUGGUCUGAGAGGACGACCAGCCACACUGGGACUGAGACACGGCCCAGACUCCUACGGGAGGCAGCAGUGGGGAGUUUUGGACAAUGGGCGAAAGCCUGAUCCAGCAAUGCCGCGUGCAGGAUGAAGGCCUUCGGGUUGUAAACUGCUUUUGUACGGAACGAAAAAGCUUCUCCUAAUACGAGAGGCCCAA
rnacentral:rRNA from 1 species